GACGUAGGGCGCGAGCGUUGUCCGGAUUUAUUGGGCGUAAAGAGCUCGUAGGCGGCUUGUCGCGUCGUUCGUGAAAACCUGCAGCUCAACUGCAGGCUUGCGGUCGAUACGGGCAGGGCUAGAGUUCGGUAGGGGAGACUGGAAUUCCUGGUGUGAGCGGUGAAAUGCGCAGAUAUCAGGAGGAACACCGGUGGCGAAGGCGGGUCUCUGGACAGUUCCGUGACGCUGAGGCACGAAGGUCAGGGGAGCAAACGGG
rnacentral:rRNA from 1 species